GCCCAGACUCCUACGGGAGGCAGCAGUGGGGGAUAUUGCACAAUGGGCGCAAGCCUGAUGCAGCGACGCCGCGUGGAGGAAGAAGGUUUUCGGAUUGUAAACUCCUGUCUUCAGGGACGAUAAUGACGGUACCUGAGGAGGAAGCCCCGGCUAACUACGUGCCAGCAGCCGCGGUAAUACGUAGGGGGCAAGCGUUAUCCGGAUUUACUGGGUGUAAAGGGAGCGUAGACGGCGAUGCAAGCCAGAUGUGAAAGCCCGGGGCUCAACCCCGGGACUGCAUUUGGAACUGUGUGGCUGGAGUGUCGGAGAGGCAGGCGGAAUUCCUAGUGUAGCGGUGAAAUGCGUAGAUAUUAGGAGGAACACCAGUGGCGAAGGCGGCCUGCUGGACGAUGACUGACGUUGAGGCUCGAAAGCGUGGGGAGCAAACAGGAUUAGAUACCCCCGUAU
rnacentral:rRNA from 1 species